CGGCAUGUUCAAACAUCGCAUUCCUGUGGACAAAGUUGCAGCACUGAGCAUUCGUGGGGAUGUUUCACUCUCCCUUUAUGGUUUCAUUGAUAACUGGAAGAAUUCCUCCUUUUUUACUGAAGGAAAAAACAUCGACAUUUCAUGGAGCCCAGCUUCCAAGAUCACACUAUUGCUGUCUGAGAUUCAUUUCCAGAUUGUCAGGCCUGCACUUCCCUAUGCAACCAAAAUUCCUGGAGGGAUAAAACCAGAUACGGCUGUAUUUUUCCAAGGGACUGUGAAUAAAUUUGCCA